rnacentral:rRNA from 1 species
UACAGGGGGGGCAAGCGUUGUUCGGAAUUACUGGGCGUAAAGGGCUCGUAGGCGGCCAACUAAGUCCGACGUGAAAUCCCAAAGCUUAACUUUGGAACUGCGUCGGAAACUGGCAGGCUUGAAUCCGGGAGAGGGAUGUGGAAUUCCAGGUGUAGCGGUGAAAUGCGUAGAUAUCUGGAGGAACAUCGGUGGCGAAGGCGACAUCCUGGACCGGUAUUGACGCUGAGGCGCGAAAGCCAGGGGAGCAAACGGG